CCUACGGGUGGCAGCAGUGAGGAAUAUUGGUCAAUGGACGAGAGUCUGAACCAGCCAAGUAGCGUGAAGGAUGACUGCCCUAUGGGUUGUAAACUUCUUUUAUAAAGGAAUAAAACGAGGCACGUGUGCCUUUUUGCAUGUACUUUAUGAAUAAGGAUCGGCUAACUCCGUGCCAGCAGCCGCGGUAAUACGGAGGAUCCGAGCGUUAUCCGGAUUUAUUGGGUUUAAAGGGAGCGUAGAUGGGUUGUUACGUCAGUUGUGAAAUUUUGCGGCUCAACCGUAAAAUUGCAAUUGAUACUGGCAGUCUUGAGUACAGUUGAGGUAGGCGGAAUUCGUGGUGUAGCGGUGAAAUGCUUAGAUAUCACGAAGAACCCCGAUUGCGAAGGCAGCUUACUAAACUGUGACUGACAUUGAUGCUCGAAAGUGUGGGUAUCAAACAGGAUUAGAUACCCCUGUAGUC
rnacentral:rRNA from 1 species